UGGGGAAUAUUGGACAAUGGGGGCAACCCUGAUCCAGCCAUGCCGCGUGUGUGAAGAAGGCCCUCGGGUUGUAAAGCACUUUCAGCGAGGAAGAACGCCUAGUGGUUAAUACCCAUUAGGAAAGACAUCACUCGCAGAAGAAGCACCGGCUAACUCCGUGCCAGCAGCCGCGGUAAUACGGAGGGUGCAAGCGUUAAUCGGAAUUACUGGGCGUAAAGCGCGCGUAGGUGGCUUGAUAAGCCGGUUGUGAAAGCCCCGGGCUCAACCUGGGAACGGCAUCCGGAACUGUCAGGCUAGAGUGCAGGAGAGGAAGGUAGAAUUCCCGGUGUAGCGGUGAAAUGCGUAGAGAUCGGGAGGAAUACCAGUGGCGAAGGCGGCCUUCUGGACUGACACUGACACUGAGGUGCGAAAGCGUGGGUAGCAAACA
rnacentral:rRNA from 1 species